rnacentral:rRNA from 1 species
AUGGACAUGCUUGGGAAUGCAGCCUCGGUGGCUCAACUCGUCGGGACUGUGGGCAGGCUCAUCUCCAAGAUCAUUGAUGCGGCGAGGACGGCGCGCCAGAACAAGCGGGAGUGCCUGUACCUCACGGUCCGCCUGUCCAUCAUCGGCGAGGUGCUGCCUCGCCUGCCGCAGGACGCCAAGGUGAAGCGGUCGCUCACGGAGCUGGGCAAGACGCUGGGCGAGGCGCACGAGCUGGUCCUCGACUGCCAGAACUGGAGCACCGCCCGGCAGCUCAUCGGGGCCCGCCGCCACGCCGACAGCUUGAAGGAGGUCAACGGCAGGAUCGACUCCCACAUCAACCUCCUCAACUUGGUCUUUAACACCUCCGGCCGCUUCGACCAAACCCGCCCUCCCAACCACACGGCGACGGUGCCGUCGCCGGGCUCCUCCUCGGGUCCUGCCGCCCCCGUGAGGCUCACGUGGGCGCAAAUUGCAGCGGCGACCGAUUACUUUGCCGACGAACUCAGCCGGCGCAGCUCACAGGUGUUGUACAAGGGCCGUCUCCGCAACGGCCGGGAGGUGGCCGUGAAGGUUCUUAUCAAGAACGGGCGGCAGGACGUGGAGGGCGCGGUCGUGACGGAGGUCGAGAUCCUCUCCCCCCUCCGCCACCCACACAUCGUGCGACUCGUCGGCUGGUGCUCCGAGGAGGAGGACCACAUCGUCGUCUACCUCCACGAGCAUACGAGCAACGGCACGCUCAGAGACCACCUGCUGCGCCUGCGCGUGCGCGUGCGCGUUCGAGCGCGCCUGAGGGGCCGCUCUAGCUUUAGGUCGUCGCCGGUGAGGUCGACCUGGAAGAUGCGCGUCGAGGUGCUGCUGGGCGCAUCGCGGGCCAUGGAGCACUUGCACCGUUUCGGGGUUAUCCACCGCAACGUGACCUCGUUCAACAUCCUGCUGGACGGCAGCUGGGCGCCGCGCCUGUCCGGCUUCGGCCAAGCGAUCUUGCUGGCGGCGGCCGGAGACCAGGUCGACACUGAGGUCGUCGGCACUCCUGGUUACGUCGACCCGGAGUACGGCCGCACUGGGCGUGUGAGCGCAGCGAGCGACGUGUACAGUUUCGGGGUGGUGAUACUAGAGACGCUGACGGGGGAGGAUGCCGCCACCAUGCAGAUGGACUCGGUGCUCCUGGCCAUACGCAACAGGAAGCUACGGGAUGUGCUGGUCCGCCGCCCUGCGGCGACGCCGCGGCAGCUGGAGGCGCUGGAGCUCGUGGCGCACACGGCGGAGUGCUGCCUGUUUCCACAUGGGAACGACCGGCCUGCCAUGUCGAACGUUGUGACCAACCUCGAGAGGGCGCUCACGAUCAUAAAUACGUACUAA